UAAAGUAAGAGUUUAAUUUUUGCUCCGACUGAACGUUUUCCAGUGGUUUCUUAAGGCAUGCAAAUCGUUAUUAAUUUCGGUUAAUAAGGUGUACGGGUGAGUAAUAAUAAAUAAGAUACCCUACAGACUUCGGUAAUAGAGGAUAGUUCUGUUUUUUUUUGUAAAGAAAUUAAGAAUAAAGGGACUUCAUUUAUGUUAUCUAAAAUUUUUUUAAAAUAUUUAGAAAUAUAAUUCCUACUGUAGGAUUCUAUUUAUCUUGAAUAGGUAGUUGAUAGGGUAAUGGCCUACCAAGCCUACGAUCAAUAGCCAGCUUGAAAGAGGGAUUGGCCACAUUGGGUCUGAAAUUUACCCAAGUAGUGCAUAACUACCAGCAGCCGAGAAUAUUUGUCAAUGCUCGCAAGAGUGAACAAGCCAACUGGAAUCACAACAACUUGUGAUAAAGUAAGGGAGGAUAAUGACGUUACCUUAUUAUUAGUGUCGUCUAAAAUUGGUGCCAGAAGACUCGGUAAUACCAAAUACACAAACGUUAGUCAUCAUAAAUAGGCGUAAAGGGUUUGUAGGCUGCUCAAAAAAAAAUUAUAAAAUAAGAGCUAGAAUCAAAUAGAGGUCAAUAUCAUACCUAGUGAAAGAAUUAAAUCUGUAAAUAUUAGGGGGAAUACUAGAAGCGAAGGCGAUUUUCCAUUUAAUGAUUGACGCUGAGACACGAAGGUUGGGGCAGGAAAUAGGAUUAGAUACCCUAGCACUCCCAACUGUAAACGAUGAAUGGUAGGUGUUAAUUAUAUUAAAAUUAGCACCGAUGUGAACACGUUAACCAUUCCGCCUUGUGAGUAUACUUGCAAAAGUGAAAACAAAAAAAUUAGUCGGCCCCGAAGCAAACGAAGUGAAGCAUGUUGUUUAAUACGAUAAUCCGCGUAAAAUCUUACCAUGGCUUGAAUAUAACUUUUCUAAGAAUAUUUCACGUAAAAAUAUUCAUUUGUUAAAAAUAAUUAACGGAGAAAAGGAAUAAUUACUAUUAUUCAUUUACAGGUGUUGCAUGGCUGUCGUCGGUUCGUAUCGUGAGAUGUUUGGUUAAUUCCGCUAACGAACGCAAUCCCUAUUGUUAAUUUAUACUUAACACAGGCUUACCCUAAAAAAGGGAAGUUGUUUGGGGCUAUGACAAGCCGUUAUGACCCUUAUGCCGUGGGCUAUAGACGUGCCACAAAAACUUUAACAAUAUGAAGCAAUCCAUCGCCAAGUCUCGAGUAAUUUGGGAAAAUUUAGUUGGAGAAUAUGAGGAGCUAAUCAUCAAAAUAAGUUAUAGCCGGAUUGUUGCCUGAAACUCGGCAACAUGAAGAAGGAAUUUCGAGUAAUCGUUGAUCACCAGCGCAACGGUGAAGACAUAAUUCGGGGUUUUUAGUUAAAAGCCCCUUUCAGAUCUAAGGUGCUCUAUCCAAUGGUAGGGGACUUGCAGAUCUGAA
rfam:Rhizoctonia solani strain AG-1 IB complete mitochondrial genome, isolate 7/3/14